rnacentral:rRNA from 1 species
UACGUAGGGACCGAGCGUUGUCCGGAAUCAUUGGGCGUAAAGAGCGUGUAGGCGGCUAUUUAAGUCCUGCGUGAAAUCCUGCGGCUCAACCGCAGACGGUCGUGGGAAACUGGAUGGCUAGAGUGCGGGAGAGGAGAGUGGAAUUCCCGGUGUAGCGGUGAAAUGCGCAGAUAUCAGGAGGAACACCGGUGGCGAAGGCGGGUCUCUGGGCCGAUACUGACGCUGAGGAGCGAAAGCGUGGGGAGCGAACAGG